GAGGGUAUAGCUCAGCAGUGGAGCACAUGCUCAGCAUGCAUGAGGUUCUGGGUUCAAUCCCCAGUACCUCCA
rfam:Camelus ferus unplaced genomic scaffold scaffold273, whole genome shotgun sequence.